GACGAACGCUGGCGGCGUGCCUAAUACAUGCAAGUCGAGCGGAGCGGCGAACGGGUGAGUAACGCGUGAGUAAAUGCCCCCCUCUCUGGGAUAACAGUUGGAAACGGCUGCUAAUAACGGAUAGUGGGGGAUGAAUCGCGUCCUAUCAGCUUGUUGGUGGGGUAGUGGCCUACCAAGGCGACGACGUGUAGCCGGCCUGAGCGGUCGAACGGCCAGAUUGGGCUGAAAUACGGCCCCAACUCCUACGGGAGGCAGCAGUGGGGACUAUUGCACAAUCGGGGAAACCCUGAUGCAGCAACGCCGCGUGCGGGAUGACGGCCUUCGGGUUGUAAACCGCUUCCAGCCAUGACGCGGUAGUGGCAGAAGAAGCACCGGCUAACUACGUGCCAGCAGCCGCGGUAAUAC
rnacentral:rRNA from 1 species